ACUAACAGGAAUUUGCCAUUCAGUCAUUUCUCACUUCUGAUUCUAAAUACAACACAACACAAAAUGUAAAUGAAAGUAUCUUUUUAAGUGGAAACAAAUCCACAGUGUAAAUUAGAAUAAAAACUAUCAUUACUUAGGGUAAUUUAAAUAUUCACACUGCUGAAAUAGACAAAGAUGUGAUGAUACUUAUGGGUCUACUUGAAACCAACUAUGGGACAUUCCCACAGUUUGAACUGAAUAUGAAAUACAAUUUAUCCUUUGAAAAA
rnacentral:lncRNA from 1 species